CCAGCGCAUGUAGCAGCCCAGUGCCAGUAGCUUUGCCUAAAAGGCAAAGUAUAUUAAUUCUAGGACCAAAUGGAACUCUUGAGGGUACUCCAUUAGAGAUCAGACCAAGUGUACAGCCCACUAUACAACAGAUCACACCUGUGCAACCACCUACGAUACCGGCCACACCUGUGCAGCCUCCACAGCCUCCACAGGCGUUGCAAGAUUAUAAUAGGGAAGGAUACUUCGAACCAAAGUUGGUGAGGAACAAGCAAAUUCAACCGCGUUGCUGGGAAUUGUUGCUUUGCUCCGGCAAAUGCACACUAUCGCAGUACCGAAAAAAAAAAGUGUGGAGGCUGUCAAGGCACGAGGCAAGCACUGGUUUCCUGGCGCGCGUUGCAGCAGCGUCAGAGAUUGCCACAUAUUGCCCUCAACAAGAGGCAUUCAACCUCUCAAAAGGCAUAGAAUCAACCACACAUACUUGCGGUCGGACCUUCAUGGGCUAAUAUACACACGUAUGAAAUUGUUACCACUGCU